CCCAGGGCCGAACCUAGUGAGAUUAACUGGGGGGGGGGGGGUUGAGCCAGAACCCACCCCCCUCGAUGAGUUCGUCCUUUUCUCCUCCUCCUCCCCCUCUUCCUCCUCCUCUACUCCUGCUCCUCCCCCCUUUCUUCUUCCUCCUCCUCGUCCUCGUCCUCGUCUUCCUUUUCCCCUUCCUUUUCCUCCUUUUUCUCCUCCUCCUGCUCCCGGACGAAUUCCCCUGGGAGAGGGGCUGCCUUGGACGCUUGACAAAGCCCUUGGCGGUGGGCUUUCUUUCAGGACUGGCUAGGCUCGCAGUGGUACGCCCCGCCGUCGCCGCAACCCAGACAGCUGAGCUGCUUGCGCGGCCCUCCGAGGAUCCCGCCCUGCCCGGUCGAGCUGGCUGCUUGGGAGACGCCGCCCCAAGCCACAAAACCCACGGCAGAAACACAUCUGGCUCCAUGGCUCGGCGCCGGAGCUGCCAUUCGGGGAUGAGAAUCGGCGGGACCUGGGAAAAAAGUGGAACUUCUCCUAUCCCCCGCCCCCUCCUCUGCCCGACCUGCUGCCCAGCCCCCCCCGUCCCUUCUCCCACCUGCUGUCUCCCCUCUCCCCCCGCCUCCGCCCGACCUGCUAUUCCCUGUCCCGCAGAAUCCCGUCUUCCCGGUGGCUCCUUGGGGCUGUCCCAGCCCGUUGACCAUCGCAGCUCUGUCCUUUACUCCCCAGAGGUAAGAGCUUCGCGAGAGACCGGACUGGGGGGAGGGCCGGCGACCCUCUCCUUUCCCCGCGUCACACACACCCACACCCCCGGGAGCGGGGAAGGCAAGGAGGAGAAAGGAGGAGGAGGAGAAGGAGGAAGGAAUCGCGGAGUGAGAGAAGGAUAAUCAGGUUCUCGACCCACUGGAGAAUCCACGCAUCUACCGGAAUGAAUUGUGGAAAAUUAAAGCCGGAGAGAAAUAUAAGAAGUCACAGAGAGCCUUCCAACCGCUCGUUGUGGAUUAGUAAAAGUGGGUUUUUCUAAUAACACUGACCGCAUCUGCCCCGCGCCCCUCCAUCUCAAUGUUUUAUUUCCUUUCCCGCUGGGGAGGGUGAGUCGGUGAAGGAGUCCGUGGUGAUGAGGACCCCCACGUCCCAGGGACUUUCCGAGAACACGGCUGGAGAAGAAAGGCCAACGGGGAUGCUCAAAUCUUACUGUUAUAAUGCAGUGCCAUUAC
rnacentral:lncRNA from 1 species